rnacentral:rRNA from 1 species
UGGGGAAUAUUGCACAAUGGGCGCAAGCCUGAUGCAGCCAUGCCGCGUGUGUGAAGAAGGCCUCGGGUUGUAAAGCACUUUCAGCGAGGAGGAAGGCGGUGGACUUAAUACGUUCAUCAAUUGACGUUACUCGCAGAAGAAGCACCGGCUAACUCCGUGCCAGCAGCCGCGGUAAUACGGAGGGUGCAAGCGUAAUCGGAAUUACUGGGCGUAAAGCGCACGCAGGCGGUUUGUUAAGUCAGAUGUGAAAUCCCCCGGGCUCAACCUGGGAACUGCAUUUGAAACUGGCAGGCUAGAGUCUCGUAGAGGGGGGUAGAAUUCCAGGUGUAGCGGUGAAAUGCGUAGAGAUCUGGAGGAAUACCGGUGGCGAAGGCGGCCCCCCUGGACGAAGACUGACGCUCAGGUGCGAAAGCGUGGGGAGCAAACAGGAUUAGAUACCCUGGUAGUCCAGCGCUGUAAAACGAUGUCGAUUUUGGAGGUUGUGCCCUUGAGGCGUGGCUUCCGGAGCUAACGCGUUAAAUCGACCGCCUGGGGAGUUACGGCCGCAAGGUUAAACUCAAAUGAAUUGACGGGGUCAUAGCUG